rnacentral:rRNA from 1 species
GACGAACGCUGGCGGUGUGCUUAACACAUGCAAGUCGAACGGUAAGGCCCUUUCGGGGGUACACGAGUGGCGAACGGGUGAGUAACACGUGAGUAACCUGCCCUCAUCCCUGGGAUAACAGUCGGAAACGGUUGCUAAUACUGGAUAUGAGCUUGCAAGGCAUCUUGUGGGUUGGAAAGAUUUUUUUGGUUGGGGAUGGACUCGCGGCCUAUCAGCUUGUUGGUGAGGUAGUGGCUCACCAAGGCUUCGACGGGUAGCCGGCCUGAGAGGGCGACCGGCCACAUUGGGACUGAGAUACGGCCCAAACUCCUACGGGAGGCAGCAGUGGGGAAUAUUGCACAAUGGACGGAAGGCUGAUGCAGCAACGCCGCGUGCGGGAGGACGGCCUUCGGGUUGUAAACCGCUUUCAAUUGUGACGAAGCUUUUUGUGACGGUAGCAGUAGAAGAAGCACCGGCUAACUACGUG